GUGAGCCGUGUGAUGGGAAACCUUCCCGCACGGUUCGGAGAGCACUGAAUUAGAAUGAGAGGUUCACCACCACAUCAUUGCAUGCAAGGGGAGCUCGCUCGAUUCGCAAAUAGGUCCGACUCGUAAUUCACUUCUGACUCUGU
rfam:Arabidopsis thaliana mitochondrial genome